rnacentral:rRNA from 1 species
AUUGACGCUGGCGGCGGCCUAACACAUGCAAGUCGAACGGUAACAGGAAACAGCUUGCUGUUUCGCUGACGAGUGGCGGACGGGUGAGUAAUGUCUGGGAAACUGCCUGAUGGAGGGGGAUAACUACUGGAAACGGUAGCUAAUACCGCAUAACGUCGCAAGACCAAAGAGGGGGACCUUCGGGCCUCUUGCCAUCGGAUGUGCCCAGAUGGGAUUAGCUUGUUGGGGGGGUAACGGCUCACCACGGCGACGAUCCCUAGCUGGUCUGAGAGGAUGACCAGCCACACUGGAACUGAAACACGGUCCAGACUCCUACGGGAGGCAGCAGUGGGGAAUAUUGUACAAUGGGCGCAAGCCUGAUGCAGCCAUGCCGCGUGUAUGAAGAAGGCCUUUCCGGUUGUAAAGUACUUUCAGCGGGGAGGAAGGGAGUAAAGUUAAUACCUUUGCUCAUUGACGUUACCCGCAGA